rnacentral:rRNA from 1 species
GACGAACGCUGGCGGCGUGCUUAACACAUGCAAGUCGAACGCUGAACCCGCUUCGGUGGGGGAUGAGUGGCGAACGGGUGAGUAACACGUGGGCAACCUGCCCCCGGCUCUGGGAUAACUCCAAGAAAUUGGGGCUAAUACCGGAUGUGACCGCUGGCCGCAUGGUCUGGUGGUGGAAAGGGUUUCCGGCUGGGGAUGGGCCCGCGGCCUAUCAGCUUGUUGGUGGGGUAGUGGCCUACCAAGGCGACGACGGGUAGCCGGCCUGAGAGGGUGACCGGCCACACUGGGACUGGGACACGGCCCAGACUCCUACGGGAGGCAGCAGUGGGGAAUAUUGCGCAAUGGGCGGAAGCCUGACGCAGCGACGCCGCGUGGGGGAUGACGGCCUUCGGGUUGUAAACCUCUUUCAGCAGGGACGAAGCGCAAGUGACGGUACCUGCAGAAGAAGCACCGGCCAACUACGUG